CAGUAGGGAGGAAGGUAGUGUAGUUAACACCUGCAUUAUUUGUACGUUACCUACAGAAGAAGCACCGGCUAACUCGUCGCCAGCAGCCGCGGUAAGUACGGAGGGUGCGAGCGUUAAUACGGUAAUUACGUGGGACGUAAAGACGCAUGCAGGCGGCCUGUUAAGUCAGAUGUAGAAACGGACCCGGGGACCGUUUAACCUACGGUAAGUUGCUAUUUAGUAAACGUAGGCGAGGCUAGAGUCUUGUAGAGGGGGGUAGGAAUUUCAGGUGUAGCGGUGAAAUGCGUAGAGAUCUGAAGGAAUACCAGUGGCGAAGGCGGCCCCCUGGACAAAGACUGACGCUCAGAUGCGAAAGCGUGGGGAGCAAACAGGAUUAGAUACCCUGGUAG
rnacentral:rRNA from 1 species